UACGUAGGGGGCAAGCGUUGUCCGGAUUUAUUGGGCGUAAAGCGCGUGUAGGCGGCCAGGUAGGUCCGUUGUGAAAACUCGAGGCUCAACCUCGAGACGUCGAUGGAAACCAUCUGGCUAGAGUCCGGAAGAGGAGAGUGGAAUUCCUGGUGUAGCGGUGAAAUGCGCAGAUAUCAGGAAGAACACCCGUGGCGAAGGCGGCUCUCUGGGACGGUACUGACGCUGAGACGCGAAAGCGUGGGGAGCGAACAGG
rnacentral:rRNA from 1 species